rnacentral:rRNA from 1 species
UACAGAGGUCUCAAGCGUUGUUCGGAUUCAUUGGGCGUAAAGGGGUGCGUAGGCGGCGCGGUAAGUCGGGUGUGAAAUCUUGGAGCUUAACUCCGAAACUGCAUUCGAUACUGCCGUGCUUGAGGACUGGAGAGGAGACUGGAAUUUACGGUGUAGCGGUGAAAUGCGUAGAUAUCGUAAGGAAGACCAGUGGCGAAGGCGGGUCUCUGGACAGUUCCUGACGCUGAAGCACGAAGGCCCAGGGGGAGCAAAACGGGGAUUAGAAAACCC